rnacentral:rRNA from 1 species
AUUGAACGCUGGCGGCAUGCCUUACACAUGCAAGUCGAACGGUAACAGGUCUUCGGAUGCUGACGAGUGGCGAACGGGUGAGUAAUACAUCGGAACGUGCCUAGUAGUGGGGGAUAACUACUCGAAAGAGUGGCUAAUACCGCAUGAGAUCUACGGAUGAAAGCAGGGGAUCGCAAGACCUUGUGCUACUAGAGCGGCCGAUGGCAGAUUAGGUAGUUGGUGGGAUAAAGGCUUACCAAGCCGACGAUCUGUAGCUGAUCUGAGAGGACGAUCAGCCCCACUGGGACUGAGAAACGGCCCAGACUCCUACGGGAGGCAGCAGUGGGGAAUUUUGGACAAUGGGCGCAAGCCUGAUCCAGCAAUGCCGCGUGCAGGAUGAAGGCCUUCGGGUUGUAAACUGCUUUUGUACGGAACGAAAAGCCCCGGGUUAAUACCCUGGGGUCAUGACGGUACCGUAAGAAUAAGCACCGGCUAACUACGUGCCAGCCGCCGCCGUAA